UUUGUGUGUUGAAAACCAGAUAUUAUAUAAGAUAAAUAAAGCGAUUUUUUGUGUAAAUGCCUUGUUGUUUCUGAUAUUAGCUUGUCCAAGCUAACACAACGUCAGAUUGGGGUACGGGUUGAGAAGCCUUAGGCUUUGGUCUGACGGGACGCGUUAGCGGGCGGACUGGCCUAGUCGCGAAUUGCACUUUUCGUGACCUUGGCCGGAUUGGCCGUUAACCCGUCAUGUAGCGCUCCCGAUCCUUGGUAGACGGUCGGUCCGUCGGUCAUGUUCUUGUUUGAUUGUUGG
rnacentral:lncRNA from 1 species